rnacentral:rRNA from 1 species
AGAGUUUUUUCCUGGCUCAGGAUGAACGCUGGCGGCGUGCUUAACAAAUGCAAGUCAAACGGGAAUUACUUUAUUGAAACUUCGGUCGAUUUAAUUUAAUUCUAGUGGCGGACGGGUGAGUAACGCGUGGGUAACCUGCCUUAUACAGGGGGAUAACAGUCAGAAAUGGCUGCUAAUACCGCAUAAGCGCACAGAGCUGCAUGGCUCAGUGUGAAAAACUCCGGUGGUAUAAGAUGGACCCGCGUUGGAUUAGCUAGUUGGUGGGGUAACGGCCCACCAAGGCGACGAUCCAUAGCCGGCCUGAGAGGGUGAACGGCCACAUUGGGACUGAGACACGGCCCAGACUCCUACGGGAGGCAGCAGUGGGGAAUAUUGCACAAUGGGGGAAACCCUGAUGCAGCGACGCCGCGUGAAGGAAGAAGUAUCUCGGUAUGUAAACUUCUAUCAGCAGGGAAGAAAAUGACGGUACCCGACUAAGAAGCCCCGGCUAACUACGUGCCAGCAGCCGCGGUAAUACGUAGGGGGCAAGCGUUAUCCGGAUUUACUGGGUGUAAAGGGAGCGUAGACGGCACGGCAAGCCAGAUGUGAAAGCCCGGGGCUCAACCCCGGGACUGCAUUUGGAACUGCUGAGCUAGAGUGUCGGAGAGGCAAGUGGAAUUCCUAGUGUAGCGGUGAAAUGCGUAGAUAUUAGGAGGAACACCAGUGGCGAAGGCGGCUUGCUGGACGAUGACUGACGUUGAGGCUCGAAAGCGUGGGGAGCAAACAGGAUUAGAUACCCUGGUAGUCCACGCCGUAAAC